AUGGGAUAUCUGCUGCCCGCCCGGGGAGAUGCUGUCCGAG
rnacentral:antisense_RNA from 1 species